rnacentral:rRNA from 1 species
CCUACGGGAGGCAGCAGUGAGGAAUAUUGGUCAAUGGCCGCGAGCCUGAACCAGCCAAGUCGCGUGAAGGAUGACUGCCCUACGGGUUGUAAACUUCUUUUAUAAAGGAAUAAAGUGAGCCACGUGUGCCUUUUUGUAUGUACUUUAUGAAUAAGGAUCGGCUAACUCUGUGCCAGCAGCCGCGGUAAUACGGAGGAUGCGAGCGUUAUCCGGAUUUAUUGGGUUUAAAGGGUGCGUAGAUGGGUUGUUAAGUCAGUUGUGAAAGUUUGUGGCUCAACCGUAAAAUUGCAAUUGAUACUGGAAGUCUUGAGUGUAUUUGAGGUAGGCGGAAUGCGUGGUGUAGCGGUGAAAUGCUUAGAUAUCACGAAGAACUCCGAUUGCGAAGGCAGCUUACUAAGCUAUAACUGACACUGAUGCUCGAAAGCGUGGGGAUCAAACAGGAUUAGAUACCCGAGUAGUC